AGUUAAAAAGCUCGUAGUUGGAUUUCGGAGUGGGCCAGUUGGUCCGCCGCAAGGUGUGUUACUGACUGGUUUGCUCUUCUUCGCAAAGACUGCGUGUGCUCUUGAGUGAGUGUGCGUAGGAUUUACGACGUUUACUUUGAAAAAAUUAGAGUGUUCAAAGCAGGCUAUUGCUUGAAUACAUGAACAUGGAAUAAUGGAAUAGGACUUUGGUCUCAUUUUGUUGGUUUCUAGGGCCGAAGUAAUGAUUAAGAGGGACAAUUGGGGGCAUCCGUAUUUCGUUGUCAGAGGUGAAAUUCUUGGAUUUACGAAAGACGAACAACUGCGAAAGCACUUGCCAAGAGUGUUUUCAUUAAUCAAGAACGAAAGUUAGAGGAUCGAAGACGAUCAGAUACCGUCCUAGUUCUAACCAUAAACGAUGUCGACUAGGGAUCAGCGGGCGUUAUCGUACGACCCCGUUGGCACCUUACGGGAAACCAAAGUUUUUGGAUUCCGGGGGAAGUAUGGUUGCAAAGCUGAAACUUAAAGGAAUUGACGGAAGGGCACCACCAGGAGUGGAGCCUGUGGCUCAAUUUGACUCAACACGGGAAAACUUACCAGGUCCAGACAUAGUAAGGAUUG
rnacentral:rRNA from 1 species